AGAGUUUGAUCAUGGCUCAGGGUGAACGCUGGCGGCGUGCUUGACACAUGCAAGUCGAACGGUAUGUGGCAACACAUAGAGUGGCGAACGGGUGAGUAACACGUGGGAACGUAUCUUUUGCAGGGGGAUAACUGACCGAAAGGACAGCUAAUACCGCAUAAGUCCGGGAGGAGAAAGGUGCAACAGCAUCGGCAGAAGAGCGGCCCGCGGUCCAUCAGCUAGUUGGUGAGGUAAGGGCUUACCAAGGCGACGACGGAUAGCCGGCGUGAGAGCGUGGCCGGCCACAAGGACACUGAGAUACGGGUCCUACUCCUACGGGAGGCAGCAGUGCGGAAUUUUAGAUAAUGGAGGGAACUCUGGUCUAGCGACGCCGCGUGCAGGAAGAAGGUCUUCGGAUUGUAAACUGCUGUGGUAAGGGAAAAAUGCUAUGUAGAGUGGAAAGCUACAUAGAGGGAUGGUACCUUACUAGAAAGCCCCGGCUAACUACGUGCCAGCAGCCGCGGUAAUACGUAGGGGGCGAGCGUUACCCGGAAUCACUGGGCGUAAAGGGAGCGUAGGUGGCCUAACAUGUCAACUGUGAAAACCCGGAGCUCAACUCCGGACUUGCAGUUGAAACUGGUAGGCUUGAGGACGGUAGAGGAAGACGGAACUGCCAGUGUAGGGGUAAAAUCCUUAGAUAUUGGCAGGAACGCCGGUGACGAAGGUGGUUUUCUGGGCCGGUUCUGACACUGAUGCUCGAAAGCCAGGGGAGCGAACGGGAUUAGAUACCCCGGUAGUCCUGGCCCUAAACGAUGUUCACUAGGUGUGGGGAGCGGAAAGCUCUCCGUGCUAAAGCUAACGCGAUAAGUGAACCGCCUGGGGAGUACGCCCGCAAGGGUGAAACUCAAAGGAAUUGACGG
rnacentral:rRNA from 1 species